rnacentral:misc_RNA from 1 species
GACUUGAAAAGAGAGGUCAAUAAGACCGUGCUCAAAAUCCCUAAAAUUGAGCAGAAGGUUUUGGAUGCCACUAGCAAUGAGCCUUGGGGUCCUCAUGGAUCCCUUCUUGCAGAUAUAGCACAGGCAACUAGAAAUUAUCAUGAAUAUCAAAUGAUCAUGGGAAUACUCUGGAAGCGGAUUAAUGAUACCGGAAAGAAUUGGAGGCAUGUCUACAAGGGUUUGACCGUUUUGGAGUACUUGGUGGGUCAUGGGUCAGAGCGUGUCAUAGAUGACAUCAGAGAACAUGCAUAUCAGAUAUCAACCUUAUCUGAUUUUCAAUACAUCGACUCCAAUGGGAGGGACCAAGGUAACAAUGUUAGAAAGAAAUCUCAAAAUCUUGUUGCCCUUGUAAAUGAUAAAGAAAGGAUCAUUGAGGUCAGACAGAAGGCUGCUGCUAACAGGGACAAGUUUCGCAGCCCAUCAUCUAUGGGCAGUAUGUAUAGACCAAGUUCAGGAGGAUAUGAUGACCGCUAUGAAGGACGAUAUGGAAGCCGUGAUGGAGACAGAAAUGUUGAUUCUUAUGGGAGGGAAAGAGAUUAUGGUUUUAGAGAUGAUCGUUCUGGCAGAAAUGAGGAUUCAUAUGGUCGUGAUUAUGAAGAACGCUAUAACAGAGAUGGUUUUAAGGAUGAUGAUUAUCGAGGAAGAAGCCGAAGCAUUGAUGACUAUCAGUAUGGUUCAAGGAGCAGGAGCUCUGACAGAGAUGGAGAACGUACAUUUGAUGAUGAUGGUCAAGCUUCUUCUCGCAACAAUGGUGCCAGAGCUGACGAGCAAGCUCAGGAUGGAAGGCAGCUUGAACGUAAAUUUUCAGAACAGAAUAUUGGUGCUCUGCCAAGUUAUGAAGAAGCUGUGAAUGAAUCUGGAAGCACUGGGCAUAGUCAAAGAGAUGUAGAAGCUCCAGCAACUACUGCUCCAAGAACUUUUCCUCCGCCCACGCCCAGUACUCCAAGCCAGCUAACUACUCAUGCAACCACCGCAUCCCCGCCUACCCAGGGACAUGAUGGUUCUGAUGAAUUUGACCCCCGUGGUUCAGUUCCAGUUCCAGCUGCUCCAAAUGCCUCGAGUAGUUUGGAGACAAAUUUAUUUGACUCCUUGGCCUUAGUGCCUGUUGGGCCAGUAACAUCCAGUGCAGACUCUGAGAGUCAUGUUCAGACAAACUCUGCUGUGGGAUCCUAUACUCAAACUCAGACUUUUGAAGACCCAUUUGGUGACUCCCCUUUUAAAGCCAUUUCUUCCUCUGGAGUCCAAGAUCAAGCACAUUUUCACCGUGGGGAAUCAUUUUCUGCAGCAACUUACUCCACACCAGACAUCCCUGUUCAACCUCAACCGAAUUUGCAUCACCCUCGUGAAGAAACUCUGCAACAUCACAAUAUUGGUGUACUGGCUGAUCUCCUUCCUCCUGAAACUUUACCAGCUGCUGUUUCACAGCCCACAUUUACAAUAUCAAACCAACCAGCACAGCCAAAUUUUCAAGCUGCAUCUGGCCUGCCUGCACAACCAAAUUCUAACUUGGGGAAUUAUCAGCAAGAGGGAAAUACUGGUCCUGUGAAUUUUCAAAAUCAAACAGAACCAGGGAGAGAGUUCGGCAACGGGAUGUCCGUGGCACAGGGAGGAGUACCAGCUCAUGUCAAUUCAUAUAUGGCUCCUCCAAGUGCUGGACCUAAUACCCAGCCCAACAAUUUUGGAACAACUCAUAAUGGUUCUGCAGCUCCCACGAGUUCUCAUGUCACACUUCAAACUACAAGACCGCCUGCUCAGCUUGCUAGUGGAAACUUCAAUCCGCCACACGGUUCAGUAGCUUCUCAAGUAUCUUACCAAGCCUCAAAUUUUCCUGUUGUAAAAUCCAACGUUGAGGUUAUGGGUAGUUUUAAUCCUCAGGCAGGAAACUACACAAUGACUUCCCAGCAAAUUCCUCCAGCCGGAUCA